rnacentral:rRNA from 1 species
GAUGAACGCUGGCUACAGGCUUAACACAUGCAAGUCGAGGGGAAACGACGGGGAAGCUUGCUUCCCCGGGCGUCGACCGGCGCACGGGUGAGUAACGCGUAUCCAACCUGCCUCUGACUGAGGGAUAACCCGUCGAAAGUCGGCCUAAUACCUCAUGGUAUCGUCUGCGGGCAUCCAACGACGAUUAAAGAUUUCAUCGGUCAGGGAUGGGGAUGCGUCUGAUUAGCUUGUUGGCGGGGUAACGGCCCACCAAGGCUACGAUCAGUAGGGGUUCUGAGAGGAAGGUCCCCCACAUUGGAACUGAGACACGGUCCAAACUCCUACGGGAGGCAGCAGUGAGGAAUAUUGGGCAAUGGGCGAGAGCCUGAACCAGCCAAGUAGCGUGCAGGAAGACGGCCCUAUGGGUUGUAAACUGCUUUUAUGCGGGGAUAAAGUGAGGGACGGGUCCCUCAUUGCAGGUACCGCAUGAAUAAGGACCGGCUAAUUCCGUG